rnacentral:lncRNA from 1 species
GCUUUCCCAUCGCUGUCUCAGCUGCUCCCGCUGGCCUUCUGCUCAGGCUGGUGUCUCCUUGGCCGGCUCCCUGCUUCUCAGCUCAUGCCUCCAGCCUUCUGGACUCUAGGAUCACAUGUGGCUGCCCACCUCGGACAGGGUUGACUAGAGGUGAAGAGGUGCCAUGCACUCCAGGAGAAGAGCUGACUGGAUCCUAUACUCAAAGAAUGGGCCACGGAUCCCUACCUGUCCACUGUUUGUUACUGGGCUGGGAAGCUGCAAGACCCGAUGCUGGGGAGCCCACCAUGAAAUCUGUCCCAAAUCAUGGAACCCCGAGGUGAAAGGCCCCCAGGCAUGCCAACACAUGGCAGACAAAUCCAGUUGUGUCCAGGGAUGGCGUUCCCUCCAGUUUUCUGAAAGACGCUCCCAUAUUCCUUAAGCACAGGGAUCUACUAAAGGAUGUGCUCCUUAAAAAUGAGGGAGUAAGCCGAGAAAGAGGAAGAUGUGGGCUCUAGAAAAUGGAAUCCAAUGCAGCAAAAGGUAAAGGGGAUUUUUAGAAUCACGACCAAGAGAACUCUGAGGUCAACAGCUGUGCAGCAGGCCUAGAGAAUGAUCUGUGAAGAUGGGUACAGGAGGAGGAGGGACUCUAGGUGGGAGGGCUCUAUCAUGUGGUGGUACUGGUGUCAGCCCAUUGGAGCCAAUUGUUAAAUAUUUGGGAAUGUUGUAAGCCAGUUUUUAAACACAGUCAUUAUUUAAAAAGUAAAUUAUAAAAGGCUUAAUCAUAUUAGAAAUAAAGAUGAUAAAUAUUCCAAAUUCA